GCGGCGAGAGGCCCCGCCCGGGACCCGGGACCCGCCUCCGGCUCGGGGGCCGAGGCUGGGACUCUCGGGCUCGGAGGCAGACGGCGUCGCUCCUGCGGACCGAGACGCGGCGCGGCCUGCAAGCUCGGAGGGGCCGUCCGCGCUGGAGGCCUCCGGGGGCGCCGCCUGGAGAAGCCUCUUGCACUGCUCCCAGCACGUCCUCGUCGGUCUGGAGUUCACAGCUGCCCCGGAAAAGUGAACGCGCUCAAAGCCUGCACGCCCCGUCUGCUACAUUCUAACGGAACCCGGGAUUUCAGACCUGAAGUCAUUUAAACUGAAUUCGCUGAAAUGCCAAGCAAAUAAAACGACUAACGGCUUUUUAAAACGGCUAUUAGGGCUGCGUGAGCGGGGGGAGAAUUGCUUCCUGGAAAUGUGCUGAUGGGACAACUAUAGAAAGCAUUGGUCUUUGUUUUUAGCUAUUAAAAGCUGUAAAUCUAAACCGCUCAGAGGAAGAUUGAGCGGAGAUGAUGGAACCCGAUCCAUUGGAGAUCCUGAUACUAACCUGCCUCGUGUUAAAGCCAGACCAGCCAAGGACACCGGGAGGAAGCCUGCGAUGCGCGGACGUCAGGCGGCUGUGGAAGUGGGAAGGAGGGGCACUCCCGGGGAAGCGAGCAUCCCGCUGGAAAAGGGAGCAUGAAGCUGUUUCGUAAGGUUUAGGCUCCCACCAAACGAGUCAGGAGGGUCUAGGAGUGCGGGGAUCCGCUCUGGACUGGACGCUGUUUCUGAGGCAGGAUUAGGAAAAGCGGAGGUUAACCAGGGAUUGGAUGCUGUCUGAGGAGAAGACCGUUUAGGAACUGGGUACGCCCGGUAAUAAAUGAAAAUAGCAAAGUGGGCCUGAGCCUCCUUGGUGAGAAAGCGAAGAGAGGUGAUCUGGCAUUUUCCAGCUGCCGCUUGGCAGCAGGAAAAACACGAUUCUCUGUUAACUUUGCAGCCGGCUUUGUGUCCGUCCUCCCAGCACUGCUGUUUUUUCUCAUUUCAGCCUGAGCUGGAUUUUAUUCUUUUGCUUUUAAAUUCUUUAAAACCAAGAAUUUUCACUCUUUGACCAAGCGUGCAGAACUAGGCAGAAUUAGGGUUCUGCCUUUGUAGCUCCAAGCUGCUUUCAGUCCCAUUCUAACAUGGAAAGAAGUAAUUUUCACUUCAGCAGUUCAGUUUUCAUCUUGCCUCUCCUUAUUCUAACGUCAUGCGUUUACUGGGAAUAGAGAAAAGAUGGGAAUAAAGAAAGGAAACAGUCAAGAAGUUAGGAGAUGGGGUAAAGAAGGUAUUGAAUUGUAGAAGAGUGAAGAAACUAGUCCUGGGGAACAUAAAAGGAUGUUUCAUGGCUGCCCUUGUUUUAGGAACACUGGGGCAGGAGUAUGAGGAGGCAUUUUCAAAAAUUGGAGAAUGUUUAACCUUUCUCAGUGAUCCUAGGCUCACAGAGAUCCCAAAUGGAAAGAUCAAGGGCCAAAUUCAGCCAGCAAAAAUGUUUCACUUGGCCCACAUGGUAGUUUUCUAAAUAUAUUUUAAGUACAUACUAAAAUUCAAUAAAUCAGGACAUUUCACUUUAAAAUCUAGAUUUCUAGUUUAUCUGGAAAACACGAGAUCUGGGCCUCUUUACUGGGUCUCUAUUGGGCCUAUGGUGUGCUUCACUCAUUUUCAUUACCUGCCUGGCUGCUAUAGAAGUUUUUUUGUGACUUCUGAGAAUUCUACAACUUAAACAGAGAAAAUACUAAAAGUAGGUGAAAAGAAGUUGAACAAUUCAACUAGAGUCCAUGUCUGCCUUGUUCACUACUGUAAGAUAGUAAUUAAAUCAUUAUUAAAUGAAGAAAGAAAGAAACCAGGAAUAAGAGCAGCCAUUCUCAGGAAAAUAUGUUGAAACUGAGCUUUGGGCUGUGUUCAGUAUGGACUAAAAUGAACCCUAGAGAUACAGUCAGAGUCUGUGUUGGUAACUAUAGAGUUCUUAUCUACACCCAGAUUUGAAACAAUAUAUUCAGGGUACUGUAAAGGACAGCUGAGAAAGCGGGCAUGUCAAUGGAUAGAAUGGCGAAAGAAUUGCUUAGAUUAGGGAGGAAUGAAGAAUAGUUGCUGAAAGAGAAUAAAAUACAAAGACAAAAUGGACCUAGUUAGAGAAGAAUUGUGAAAUGGAUUUAGAAGCAGACGGAUUGAAAGCAAUGGGGAAUUAUUGUAUGGAUGUGGCUUCAUACGUAACUUCAGAGACUACUGAAGCUAGUCUAAAGCUAGACUGCUGGAGCUAAAGACAGCAUUAGAGAUCAUCCAGUUCUAGUCCAACUCCAACAUUUCACAAAUGGGGAGAUGAUGGUCGGGGAAUUUAAGAAAGCUGCUUAAAGUCACAAAACUAGUGUUGUAGGGCACCUCUGCCCAAAGAGACCCCAUGAACACCUGCAAGUGGAGACGUGGGAGAGGAUCUGAGGAAGGCACAACUAAAGAAGCUUGAGACCCUCCUCUCAACUACGACAGCGAUCGGAGGAAGCCCUUCUCAUAUGUGGAUGCCCGUUUUUCUGGGGAGAGAGUCUACAGCUUUCCUCAGAUUUUCAAGUGGGUAUAUGAUCCAAAAACGGCUGCUCAAAUCUAGGAACGUUUAAAAUGUAAAAGCCACAUUUUUAGAAGUAUUACUUCCUUUUACAUAAAUGAACAUUCAUACUAGGGACUUUUUACUAUAUUAUUACAUUAUUUACAUGAGAUUAAUUUAUAUGAGUGGUUUGUAAAUGAUAGUCUCCAUGAGGACAAGAAUACCAAUCCUAUACAUAAUACUUAGCAUACUGCAUCCUCAUUGUAGUUAUUCUAUAAUUAUUUGUUAAAUGAAUGAAUAACGAAUGAAGAAGAUAAGAAAAAAGGAAAGCAUGAACAACAUUCCACAUAAUUUAUUUCCCCUAUGGGGAAAAAGAUAAAGUUAAACCAACUUUGUUAGGAUUCA
rnacentral:lncRNA from 1 species